rnacentral:rRNA from 1 species
UACGUAGGGUGCGAGCGUUGUCCGGAAUUAUUGGGCGUAAAGGGCUCGUAGGCGGUUUGUCGCGUCGGGAGUGAAAACACCGGGCUUAACUCGGUGCUUGCUUUCGAUACGGGCAGACUAGAGGCAUGCAGGGGAGAACGGAAUUCCUGGUGUAGCGGUGAAAUGCGCAGAUAUCAGGAGGAACACCAAAGGCGAAGGCAGCGUCCUGGCAAGUUCCUAACGCUCAGGUGCGAAAGCUAGGGGAGCGAACGGG